rnacentral:rRNA from 1 species
AACGUAGGUGGCGAGCGUUAUCCGGAUUUACUGGGCGUAAAGCGUGUGCAGGCGGUCUGGGAAGUCGGGCAUGAAAGCCACCGGCUCAACUGGUGGAAGCUGUCCGAAACUCUCAGACUUGAGUCCCGGAGAGGGUGGUGGAAUUCCGCGUGGAGUGGUGAAAUGCGUAGAGAUGCGGAGGAACACCAGUGGCGAAAGCGGCCACCUGGCCGGGGACUGACGCUGAGACACGAAAGCUAGGGGAGCGAACGGG